rnacentral:rRNA from 1 species
AUACGUAGGGGGCAAGCGUUAUCCGGAUUUACUGGGUGUAAAGGGAGCGUAGACGGCAAAGCAAGUCUGAAGUGAAAGCCCCGGGCUCAACCCGGGAAUUGCUUUGGAAACUGUUUAGCUGGAGUGCAGGAGAGGUAAGCGGAAUUCCUAGUGUAGCGGUGAAAUGCGUAGAUAUUAGGAGGAACACCGGCGGCGAAGGCGGCUUACUGGACUGUAACUGACGUUGAGGCUCGAAGGCGUGGGGAGCAAACAGGAUUAGAUACCCUGGUAGUCCACGCCGUAAACGAUGAUUACUAGGUGUUGGUUGUCAUAGACAAUCGGUGCCGCAGCAAACGCAAUAAGUAAUCCACCUGGGGAGUACGUUCGCAAGAAUGAAACUCAAAGGAAUCGACGGGG